rnacentral:rRNA from 1 species
CAAAGGUGAGCCAGUACAGGAUGGACCCGCGUCUGAUUAGCUAGUUGGUAAGGUAACGGCUUACCAAGGCGACGAUCAGUAGCCGACCUGAGAGGGUGAUCGGCCACAUUGGAACUGAGACACGGUCCAAACUCCUACGGGAGGCAGCAGUGGGGAAUAUUGCACAAUGGGCGAAAGCCUGAUGCAGCAACGCCGCGUGAGUGAUGAAGGCCUUCGGGUCGUAAAACUCUGUCCUCAAGGAAGAUAAUGACGGUACUUGAGGAGGAAGCCCCGGCUAACUACGUGCCAGCAGCCGCGGUAAUACGUAGGGGGCUAGCGUUAUCCGGAUUUACUGGGCGUAAAGGGUGCGUAGGCGGUCUUUCAAGUCGGGAGUGAAAGGCUACGGCUCAACCGUAGUAAGCUCUUGAAACUGGGAGACUUGAGUGCAGGAGAGGAGAGUGGAAUUCCUAGUGUAGCGGUGAAAUGCGUAGAUAUUAGGAGGAACACCAGUUGUGAAGGCGGCUCUCUGGACUGUAACUGACGCUGAGGCACGAAAGCGUGGGGAGCAAACAGGAUUAGAUACCCUGGUAGUCCACGCUGUAAACGAUGAGUACUAGGUGUCGGGGGUUACCCCCUUCG